GAUUGCCCUAGUAACGGCGAGUGAAGCGGCAACAGCUCAAAUUUGAAAUCUGGCUUCGGCCCGAGUUGUAAUUUGUAGAGGAAGCUUUAGGCGCGGCACCUUCUGAGUCCCCUGGAACGGGGCGCCAAAGAGGGUGAGAGCCCCGUAUAGUUGGAUGCCUAGCCUGUGUAAAGCUCCUUCGACGAGUCGAGUAGUUUGGGAAUGCUGCUCAAAAUGGGAGGUAAAUUUCUUCUAAAGCUAAAUACCGGCCAGAGACCGAUAGCGCACAAGUAGAGUGAUCGAAAGAUGAAAAGCACUUUGAAAAGAGGGUUAAAUAGCACGUGAAAUUGUUGAAAGGGAAGCGCUUGUGACCAGACUUGCGCCAGGCUGAUCAUCCGGUGUUCUCACCGGUGCACUCUGCCCGGCGCAGGCCAGCAUCGGUUCUCGCGGGGGGAUAAAGGCUCCGGGAACGUAGCUCCUCCGGGAGUGUUAUAGCCCGGGGCGUAAUGCCCUCGCGGGGACCGAGGACCGCGCAUCUUGCAAGGAUGCUGGCGUAAUGGUCACCAGCGACCCGUCUUGAAACACGGACCAAGGAGUCAAGGUUUUGCGCGAGUGUUUGGGUGUAAAACCCGCACGCGUAAUGAAAGUGAACGUAGGUGAGAGCUUCGGCGCAUCAUCGACCGAUCCUGAUGUAUUCGGAUGGAUUUGAGUAGGAGCGUUAAGCCUUGGACCCGAAAGAUGGUGAACUAUGCUUGGAUAGGGUGAAGCCAGAGGAAACUCUGGUGGAGGCUCGCAGCGGUUCUGACGUGCAAAUCGAUCGUCAAAUCUGAGCAUGGGGGCGAAAGACUAAUCGAACCAUCUAGUAGCUGGUUACCGCCGAAGU
rnacentral:rRNA from 1 species